CAGUAUUAGUGUUGCUAUUAUAAUUACUAUUAUCACUAGCCAACAAGAAAUGUGCGUGUCUGCACAGUGCAGAUGAAUGCAAUCAAUAUGUGCAUCAGGAUACAACAGAUGAGAGAAUGCCAGCCCCUGCCAAAAUGACUCCACACAUAUUGGGGAAGAUGAAUACCAAUAAAUCAGGAUCAGGUGGGA